GGAGUUGUAGCUCAGUGGUAGAGCGUUUGCCUCGCAGGCAUGAGGCACUGGGUUCGACCCUCAGCAGCACAU
rnacentral:tRNA from 1 species